GGGGGUGUAACUCAGUGGUAGAGUGCCUGCUUUGCAAUAGCGUUUACGAACGCAUAAGAUUAACUGCAUGAAGCCCGGGGUUCGAUCCCCCGCUCCUCCA